UAGGGAAUCUUCCACAAUGGACGCAAGUCUGAUGGAGCAACGCCGCGUGAGUGAAGAAGGUUUUCGGACCGUAAAGCUCUGUUGUUGGUGAAGAAGGAUAGAGGUAGUAACUGGCCUUUAUUUGACGGUAAUCAACCAGAAAGUCACGGCUAACUACGUGCCAGCAGCCGCGGUAAUACGUAGGUGGCAAGCGUUGUCCGGAUUUAUUGGGCGUAAAGCGAGCGCAGGCGGAAGAAUAAGUCUGAUGUGAAAGCCCUCGGCUUAACCGAGGAAUUGCAUCGGAAACUGUUUUCUUGAGUGCAGAAGAGGAGAGUAGAACUCCAUGUGUAGCGGUGGAAUGCGUAGAUAUAUGGAAGAAUACCAGUGGCGAAGGCGGCUCUCUGGUCUGCAACUGACGCUGAGGCUCGAAAGCAUGGGUAGCGAACAGGAUUAGAUACCCUGGUAGUCCAUGCCGUAAACGAUGAGUGCUAAGUGUUGGGAGGCUUCCGCCUCUCAGUGCUGCAGCUAACGCAUUAAGCACUCCGCCUAGGGAGUACGACCGCAAGGUUGAA
rnacentral:rRNA from 1 species